AAAAAAAAAAAAAAAAAAAAAAAAUUUUUUCUGUGUAAAAAGGUUGAGGCGGGGGGGGGGGGGGGGGGGGGGGGGGGGGGGGGGGGGGAGGGGGGGGGGGGGGGGGGGGGGGGGGGGGGGGGGGGGGGGGGGGGGGGGGGGGGGGGGGGGGGGGGGGGGGGGGGGGGGGGGGGGGGGGGGGGGGGGGGGGGGGGGGGGGGGGGGGGGGUUUG
rnacentral:lncRNA from 1 species